GAUGAACGCUGGCGGCGUGCCUAAUACAUGCAAGUCGAGCGAACAGACGAGGAGCUUGCUCCUCUGACGUUAGCGGCGGACGGGUGAGUAACACGUGGAUAACCUACCUAUAAGACUGGGAUAACUUCGGGAAACCGGAGCUAGUACCGGAUAAUAUAUUGAACCGCAUGGUUCCAUAGUGAAAGACGGUUUUGCUGUCACUUAUAGAUGGAUCCGCGCCGCAUUAGCUAGUUGGUAAGGUAACGGCUUACCAAGGCAACGAUGCGUAGCCGACCUGAGAGGGUGAUCGGCCACACUGGAACUGAGACACGGUCCAGACUCCUACGGGAGGCAGCAGUAGGGAAUCUUCCGCAAUGGGCGAAAGCCUGACGGAGCAACGCCGCGUGAGUGAUGAAGGUCUUCGGAUCGUAAAACUCUGUUAUUAGGGAAGAACAAAUGUGUAAGUAACUAUGCACGUCUUGACGGUACCUAAUCAUAAAGCCACGGCUAGCUACGUG
rnacentral:rRNA from 1 species